rnacentral:sRNA from 1 species
CACCAGGGAGGAUAACGUUGCGACAGCAACGGCCCGCAGGGCGAGGCGCAGCCGAGUAAUCCUCCCGGAUGCACCA